GGGUAGUUCUAUUUUUAACUUUUGAGGAACCUCCAUACUCUUUUCCAGAGGGGUUACACCAGUUUGCAUUCCCACCAACAGUGCAAGAGGGUUUGACAUAGUCAUUUUAAAUGGGGUAUUUCAUUUAAUUUUCAAAACAAUUCUGUUUUACAUACUUUCUAUUACUGAUUAUAUUUUACAGGACUACAGUAUUUUAAGUGAUAUUUUUCAAGAUUAUAUAAUGAGUUGUAAGCCCAAGAUUUGUUCUAAGUCUAUUCAACUUCAAAAACUAUCUUCCUCAUCAUAGCUCAUGAUAUGAAAAUAUAAGGAAAUACAUAAAGCCUUGAAGAUUAAAGCAAAAUUAAUGACUGGCUUUAAAUUCACAUUCAGCCAGAGUCAAGAGAACACUACAAAUUGUAAAGUUACAUUGCUUCCUGAAAAGAAUAAGUUUUUCAUAUGCUUGGCCACUCAGUGACGUGAACAUGUUCCCAAAUUGCUUAUGACACAUUCGUUGCCCAGAUACAAGGGCUGAGUGAGGUUGAUCAGCUAGGUCUAGCUGCCACUUUACCCAUAGCUGAGAAUCACAAUCUGAAAACCAGCAAUCUUUGACAAAAGUAUUAUUUCCAAGCACUUCAAGGAAAAUACUCUCUUUACUUUGUUGUUUGGGAGAAGCCUGGAAAGAAAAUGGACAAAUGCAUCAAGAUUUUUCUCUUGACCUAAACUUCAGAUAUUGGAAAGAUUGUGAUGAGUUCCCAGGCUAAAAAAUUUCUUUGGUUGGAAUGACUUCAGCAUAACAGUGGAGUUUCAAGUGUUCAUUCUUUUCUCUUAAAAGUAAAAAGUUAUGUGAUAAUAAUUCUAAUGAUGAUAAUAAUAAUGUUAAGCCAGCUUCUACUGAUCCCACAAACUUCUGAAGGUCCCCCAUUUGAGAAAAUCGAAGACUUGUGUCAAUCAUCUGAGGAGUCACUUACAACACUAAAUAGGUAUUUGGGC
rnacentral:lncRNA from 1 species